CGACUGCUGUGCUAUACAUGCAAGUCGUACGCUUCUUUUUCCACCGGAGCUUGCUCCACCGGAAAAAGAAGAGUGGCGAACGGGUGAGUAACACGUGGGUAACCUGCCCAUCAGAAGGGGAUAACACUUGGAAACAGGUGCUAAUACCGUAUAACAAUCGAAACCGCAUGGUUUUGAUUUGAAAGGCGCUUUCGGGUGUCGCUGAUGGAUGGACCCGCGGUGCAUUAGCUAGUUGGUGAGGUAACGGCUCACCAAGGCCACGAUGCAUAGCCGACCUGAGAGGGUGAUCGGCCACAUUGGGACUGAGACACGGCCCAAACUCCUACGGGAGGCAGCAGUAGGGAAUCUUCGGCAAUGGACGAAAGUCUGACCGAGCAACGCCGCGUGAGUGAAGAAGGUUUUCGGAUCGUAAAACUCUGUUGUUAGAGAAGAACAAGGAUGAGAGUAACUGUUCAUCCCUUGACGGUAUCUAACCAGAAAGCCACGGCUAACUACGUGCCAGCAGCCGCGGUAAUACGUAGGUGGCAAGCGUUGUCCGGAUUUAUUGGGCGUAAAGCGAGCGCAGGCGGUUUCUUAAGUCUGAUGUGAAAGCCCCCGGCUCAACCGGGGAGGGUCAUUGGAAACUGGGAGACUUGAGUGCAGAAGAGGAGAGUGGAAUUCCAUGUGUAGCGGUGAAAUGCGUAGAUAUAUGGAGGAACACCAGUGGCGAAGGCGGCUCUCUGGUCUGUAACUGACGCUGAGGCUCGAAAGCGUGGGGAGCAAACAGGAUUAGAUACCCUGGUAGUCCACGCCGUAAACGAUGAGUGCUAAGUGUUGGAGGGUUUCCGCCCUUCAGUGCUGCAGCUAACGCAUUAAGCACUCCGCCUGGGGAGUACGACCGCAAGGUUGAAACUCAAAGGAAUUGACGGGGGCCCGCACAAGCGGUGGAGCAUGUGGUUUAAUUCGAAGCAACGCGAAGAACCUUACCAUGUCUUGACAUCCUUGACACUCUAGAGAUAGAGCUUCCCCUUCGGGGCAAAGUGACAGGUGCUGCAUGUGUCGUCAGCUCGUGUCGUGAGAUGUGGGUAGUCCCGCACGAGCGCACCCUAUGUAGUGCAUCAUCAGUGGACUCUAGCAGACUGCGUGACAACUGAGAGUGGGAUGACGUCAAUCAUCAUGCCCUAUGACUGGCUACCACGUGCUACAUGGGAGUACAACGGUUGGAGUCGAGUUAGCUAUCUAAGCUUCCUCAUCGAUGCAGGCUCACUCCCUGCGUGACGAUCCUAUAUCGA
rnacentral:rRNA from 1 species